rnacentral:rRNA from 1 species
AUACGGAGGGGGCUAGCGUUGUUCGGAAUUAUUGGGCGUAAAGGGCGCGUAGGCGGCCCGUCAAGUCAGUCGUGAAAUCCCUCGGCUCAACCGAGGAACUGCGAUUGAAACUAGCGAGCUUGAGUCCUGGAGAGGGUAGCGGAAUUCCCAGUGUAGCGGUGAAAUGCGUAGAUAUUGGGAGGAACACCAGUGGCGAAGGCGGCUACCUGGACAGACACUGACGCUGAGGCGCGAAAGCUAGGGGAGCAAACGGGAUUAGAAACCCCAGUAGUCC